UAAACUAGGAUUAGAUACCCUAUUAUUUUGUUUAUUAAUUACUUCCUGGGUAGUAAUAGUUAUGUUCUUAAAACCCAAAGGAUUUGGCGGUAUUUUAUUCUUAUCAGAGGAACUUGUCUCUUAAUCGAUAAUCCGCGUUUUAUCUUACUUAAUUUAUUAUUAGUAUGUAUAUCUCCGUUAUAAGUUUAUUUUUUUAGAAUUUAUUUACUUAAUAACUUAUUAUUUAUUAUUUCAGGUCAAGGUGCAGCUUAUAAUUAAGUGAUGGUGAGUUACAAUAUUUUUAAUAAAACGGAUUUAUAUUUGAAAUUUAUAAUAAAGGUGGAUUUGAUAGUAAUUAUAUUAAUAAUAAUAUACUGACUAUGGCCCUAAAAUAAGCACACAUCG
rnacentral:rRNA from 1 species